ACUUUUGCUUGAACUACUUAAGCCUUCGCACACACGGAAUUGAGUAAAGUCACGCCAGAAAGUUAUUAGUAACACCAAUAAUCUCAUCUGAACACGAUGUUAAAAAUUGUCAUGUUAAAUAUAGUCAUUGUGACGAUUCUAGUGAUUGUCAAUAAUGUACACGCAGAUUGCGGUUUAACUGGAGCAUUUUGUGGUAGAGGUCUCAACAGAGUAGACUGUUGUGACGGCUACUUUUGUGAUAUUGCUCCGAACGAUGCUAAUGCUCUUUGCACUCCAAAUUGUGGAACAACUGAUGCAUAUUGUGGACUGGGUGUGAACAGUGUGGCUUGCUGCGAGGGUUUUUAUUGCGAUGUGGCACCAAAUGAUGAGUACGCUCGUUGUACUCCAAAUAAAAUUAAAAAGAAUGUUUUUAUCAACAAAAAAUGAAUAAAUUUAUUUGCAAUCGUUUAAAAUCUAAA